rnacentral:tRNA from 1 species
GCCUGGCUGGCUCAGUUGGUAGAGCAUGUGGCUCUUGAUCUCAGGGUUGUGAGUUCAAGCUCCAUGUUGGGUG